rnacentral:rRNA from 1 species
GCUUGUCUCAAAGAUUAAGCCAUGCAUGUCUUAGUGUAAAUAACUCUUAUGAAACUGCGAAUGGCUCAUUAAAUCAGUUAUCAAAUACGUGAUGGUCGCCUACUACAUGGAUAACCGUAGUAAUUCUAGAGCUAAUACAUGCACAAAGGCCCACUCACGUGGGUUGUGAUUAUUAGAUUCAAACCGGCCUCGUUCUGGUGAUUCAUAAUAACUAGUCGAAUCGCAUGGCUUUUUGCCGGCGAUGGUUCAUUCGAAUUUCUGCCCUAUCAGCUUUCGACGGUAGUGUAGUGGACUACCGUGGCAUUAACGGGUGACGGAGAAUUAGGGUUCGAUUCCGGAGAGGGAGCCUGAGAAACGGCUACCACAUCCAAGGAAGGCAGCAGG